rnacentral:snRNA from 1 species
GUGCUUGCUUCAGCAGCACACAUACUAAAAUUGGAAUGAUACAGAGAAGAUUAGCAUGGCCCCUGUGGAAGGAUGACAUGCAAACUCGUGAAGCAUUACAUUAAAAA